AUUGAACGCUGGCGGCAUGCUUUACACAUGCAAGUCGAACGGUAACAGGCCGCAAGGUGCUGACGAGUGGCGAACGGGUGAGUAAUGCAUCGGAACGUGCCCAGUCGUGGGGGAUAACGCAGCGAAAGCUGCGCUAAUACCGCAUACGAUCUAUGGAUGAAAGCGGGGGACCGUAAGGCCUCGCGCGAUUGGAGCGGCCGAUGUCAGAUUAGGUAGUUGGUGGGGUAAAGGCACACCAAGCCGACGAUCUGUAGCUGGUCUGAGAGGAGGACCAGCCACACUGGGACGGAGACACGGCCCGGACGCCUACGGGAGGCAGCAGUGGGGAAUUUUGGACAAUGGGCGCAAGCCUGAUCCAGCAAUGCCACGUGCAGGAAGAAGGCCUUCGGGUUGUAAACUGCUUUUGUACGGAACGAAACGGCUCUGGUUAAUACCUGGGGCUAAUGACGGUACCGUAAGAAUAAGCACCGGCUAACUACGUGCCAGCCGCCGCGGUAACAC
rnacentral:rRNA from 1 species